ensembl:lincRNA
AGCGGACGUCCUUGUGGACGAGAUCGGACAUGAAAUGUCUGUAGUCCAAAUGACGCACGGCUCCUUUUAAUAUGGCUGUGUCAUUCGGACAAUUGUGACACGUACAUUUCCACAUUCACAUUUGACCUUCUCCAUUUGGAAUGUCCGUCUCUCCGUUUGGUUCAAAUAGAUCGCGAUGUUCAACGUGAAGAACUCGCGGUUCAGUCUGAUCGCUGCGUUCGGAGGAUGCUCUGGACCAAGUGGACCUCCGUUAAUGUGGCACCAAAAUCGUUUGUGACGAUGAUCUUUGCUCUGUGGAUGACGACACACCCCCUCGCUGUGACCGGUGAACCUUCGACGUGCUGGAAACUCCUCCGAGUCAAUUCCGAGGAACUUGCCAUCGUGGGCAAAGACCUCGCAGACAAAUAUUUGAACAUUGUGCUGAAGCCUGAAGAACCAUCUGAUAUCAUUUCUUUUGAUACAAAACAUAGUAAUCUCUUGGAACGAGUACCUGGUUGUGGAAGAAAGCUACCAAUGCAGUUACCUAAUCUCAACAAGACAGAACGAGUUUUGGUGAAUAUUGCAAGGCAUCUCAACAUUUAUGAACCCCAUCUGGAAUUCUUCAGAAUGAGCAAUGCCAUUUUCUCCAAAGAGGUUUCUACAGCCAUAACUCACGUAAAGGUUAUGAGACGUCUGAUUACACUCCUGACACGAAGCACAGAAGAAGAUCAAAAUCCGAGGCAACAACAUGGAUCAGAUUACCAGAGCGACUCUUGGAGGAACUUUUUGGCGAACUACAAGAUGUUAAAAUACUUUGCCGUACAAGCAGAAGAAAUAUCCAGAUGCGUUAAUGUUUUAAGCGACAGGUUGGAUCACACUUGGCAUCUGAACAGUUGUGGCUCCAAGUCAAGUUCCGCUGAACCUCCGGUAAACACCGGUGAUCCACUCUGAGAGUGAAGGAAACAAAGGAACUACACUUUGACCAUGAUGAUAAUGUUUGUCAUGUGUUUACAAUGUAUGCAUGGAAGGAGUAAAUUUAGAAUAAAACAAAAGGGAAUGGUGAUAAUAUGGGACGAGAGGGAGAUUGGGGAGGAAUGGCGAUGAAAGUAAAAGGAGGUUGGGUGGACAACAGAGGAAGAAGUGUGUAUAUUGUAUAUACUUGGAGUUUGGGAGACAUUAACAUUUUUAUAUUUUGCAUAAUUAUGUAAUAUGUAGAAGACUGUCUUUAAGAUAUUUUUUUAUUAUUUGCCUUGGACAAAUGACUGCUUUAUUCAUGCAGAAAUUUUCCAUUUAUUUAAGGUUUUUAUUUAUUACUUAGACAAGCUGAACAUUCCGAAAGGCAGCAGGACGUUUCCAUGAUGGGAUUAAUUGUAGUUCAUGAUGAUUAUUUAAUACAGUAACAUUUUACUGUGCUGAAGCGAUUACAAUGAUUGUAACGCAAGGUCGUCUCUGGAUAAUGCACUCGUACCAUCGCGUUUUCAAAGAAAUAAAACUUGUUUGGCAAUGGGCAGUCAUUCGUGUCGCCACUACACCCCAUGAAUAUGUGCACACACUGGGAAACUGGGAUGGGAAUUGAAAGGUAAUUGCAUUAUCUUAUAUAUUAUUUCCGAGUUUGUGGUUUCGUGUCGCGCUAUCUUCGACUUUGUUCUGCGCUCGAGUCACGUGAUAUGGGGGGGG